UACGGGGGGAGCGAGCGUUGUCCGGAUUCACUGGGCGUAAAGCGCGUGUAGGCGGGUUGGUAAGUCAGUGGUGAAAGCCCUCAGCUUAACUGAGGAAUUGCUGCUGAUACUGCCAAUCUUGAGUGUGGAAGAGGGAAGCGGAAUUCCUGGUGUAGCGGUGAAAUGCGUAGAUAUCAGGAAGAACACCGGUAGCGAAGGCGGCUUCCUGGUCCAUUACUGACGCUGAAACGCGAAAGCGUGGGGAGCAAACAGG
rnacentral:rRNA from 1 species